rnacentral:miRNA from 1 species
CAACAGCCUACUGUCUCCUCAG